rnacentral:rRNA from 1 species
GGCUCAGAUUGAACGCUGGCGGCAUGCCUAACACAUGCAAGUCGAACGGAGGUAGGGGCAACUCUACUUCAGUGGCGGACGGGUGAGGAAUGCGUCGGAAUCUACCCUAUGGUGGGGGAUAACACAGGGAAACUUGUGCUAAUACCGCAUAAUGUCGAGAGACCAAAGCAGGGGACCGCAAGGCCUUGCGCGAUAGGAUGAGCCGACGCCCGAUUAGCUAGUUGGUAGGGUAAAGGCCUACCAAGGCGACGAUCGGUAGCUGGUCUGAGAGGAUGAUCAGCCACACUGGGACUGAGACACGGCCCAGACUCCUACGGGAGGCAGCAGUGGGGAAUAUUGGACAAUGGGCGCAAGCCUGAUCCAGCAAUGCCGCGUGUGUGAAGAAGGCCUGCGGGUUGUAAAGCACUUUUGUUCGGGAAGAAAUCAUGCUGGUUAAUACCUGGUAUGGAUGACGGUACCGAAAGAAUAAGCACCGGCUAACUUCGUG